rnacentral:lncRNA from 1 species
AAGAUGAGCCUGUUAGGAGCAAUGGAUGGCUUGAGCCGCUGCAUUUAUACCCUUCACCAUUGCCAACUACCAUUCCUGAGAAAUUGAAUGAGAAUGCUUCUGAUAAAUUAAGGAAAGGUCAUGGGAUUGUGCGAAACUCCCAAGAUAAUGGAAAUAAUGGCUCAAACAGGACAUUGGAUGGGCAGAGUAAUAGUGGACAAAGUUAUCAGAAGCCAUCAGAUAGUGAAGAGAAUUCAGGGCAAUCUUCUGGACAGACCUGGAGGCACCCUAAUGUUAAUAGUUCUUCCGAUUGUUUGGUUACCACGUCAGUUCAUGUUUCUGGUACAAAAACAUCACCACAUAAGCUGGGAUUUGAUUUGCAUAAUCCUCCUUCCCCUCCAGCAUGUAAUACAUCAUCUGGACCGACCUGGAGACACCCUAAUGUUAAUAGCUCUUCUAAUUGCUUGGUUACCACGUCAGCUCAUGUUUCUGGUACAAAGACAUCACCACAUAAGCUGGGAUUUGAUUUGCAUAAUCCUCCUUCCCCUCCAGCAUGUAAUACAUCAUCUGGACAGACCUGGAGUCACCCUAAUAUAAAUAGUUCUUCCGAUUGCUUGGUUAACACACCAGCUCAUGUUUCUGGUACGAAAACAUCACCACAUAAGCUGGGCUUUGAUUUGCAUAAUCCUCCUUCCCCUCCGGCUUGUAAUACAUCUUCUGGACAGACCUGGAGACACCUUGAUAUAAAUAGUUCUUCCAAUUGUUUAGUUACCCCAUCAACUCAUGUUUCCGGUACAAAAACAUCACCGCAGAAGCUGGGAUUUGAUUUGCAUAAUCCUCCUUCCCCUCCAACAUGUAAUACAUCUACAUGGCAGG